GGAGCCGGCCAGACAGUCGCGUCAUCCCUUCGGGGGUGCCGAGGAAAGUCCGGGCUCCAUAGGGCAAGGUGCCAGGUAACGCCUGGGCGGCGCAAGCCGACGGAAAGUGCAACAGAAAGAUACCGCCUACGUCUUCUUCGGAAGGCCGGUAAGGGUGAAAUGGUGCGGUAAGAGCGCACCGCGAGUCUGGCAACAGACCGGCACGGCAAACCCCACCUGGAGCAAGACCAAAUAGGGAUCCUUUGGCGCGGCCCGCGUUGGAUCCGGGUAGGUUGCUUGAGCGUUGCGGUGAC
rnacentral:RNase_P_RNA from 1 species